ensembl:misc_RNA Metazoa_SRP Metazoan signal recognition particle RNA
GCUGGGCAUGGUGGCGCAUGCCUGUAAUCCCAGCUACUCAGGAGGCUGAGGCAGGAGAAUUGCUUGAACCCAGGAGGCGGAGGUUGCGGUGAGCCGAGAUCGCGCCAUUGCAAUCCAGCCUGGGUAACAAGAGCAAAACACUGUCUCAA